UUGUUGAGUAAAAUUGAGAUGUUCAAU
rnacentral:sRNA from 1 species